GACGAACGCUGGCGGCGUGCUUAACACAUGCCAGUCGAACGGAAAGGCCCUGCUUUUGUGGGGUGCUCGAGUGGCGAACGGGUGAGUAACACGUGAGUAACCUGCCCUUGACUUUGGGAUAACUUCAGGAAACUGGGGCUAAUACCGGAUAGGAGCUCCUGCUGCAUGGUGGGGGUUGGAAAGUUUCGGCGGUUGGGGAUGGACUCGCGGCUUAUCAGCUUGUUGGUGGGGUAGUGGCUUACCAAGGCUUUGAUGGGUAGCCGGCCUGAGAGGGUGACCGGCCACAAUGGGACUGAGAUACGGCCCAGACUCCUACGGGAGGCAGCAGUGGGGAAUAUUGCACAAUGGGCGGAAGCCUGAUGCAGCAACGCCGCGUGCGGGAUGACGGCCUUCGGGUUGUAAACCGCUUUCGCCUGUGACGAAGCGUGAGUGACGGUAAUGGGUAAAGAAGCACCGGCUAACUACGUG
rnacentral:rRNA from 1 species